GAGUUGAUAAUGAGAACUCAUACUGACUCCAAGAGAGGUGAUGACUUAAAAACCAUGCUCAUUAGGAUUAUGCUGAGGCCC